GGGCGGGUGCUGGAAUUGGCAGACAGGUAAGUCUCAAAAACUUAUGGCAGACAACUGCCGUGAGGGUUCAAGUCCCUCCCCGCCCA
rnacentral:tRNA from 1 species